rnacentral:rRNA from 1 species
UACGUAGGGGGCUAGCGUUGUCCGGAAUCAUUGGGCGUAAAGAGCGUGUAGGCGGUCCGGUAAGUCCGCUGUGAAAGUCGGGGGCUCAACCCUCGAAUGCCGGUGGAUACUGUCGGGCUAGAGUGCGGAAGAGGCGAGUGGAAUUCCUGGUGUAGCGGUGAAAUGCGCAGAUAUCAGGAGGAACACCUAUUGCGAAGGCAGCUCGCUGGGACGUAACUGACGCUGAGGCGCGAAAGCUAGGGGAGCAAACGGG